rnacentral:rRNA from 1 species
UGGGGAAUUUUGGACAAUGGGCGCAAGCCUGAUCCAGCCAUUCCGCGUGCAGGACGAAGGCCUUCGGGUUGUAAACUGCUUUUGUACGGAACGAAAAGGCUCUGGCUAAUACCUGGGGCUCAUGACGGUACCGUAAGAAUAAGCACCGGCUAACUACAUGCCAGCAGCCGCGGUAAUACGUAGGGUGCAAGCGUUAAUCGGAAUUACUGGGCGUAAAGCGUGCGCAGGCGGUUAUGUAAGACAGAGGUGAAAUCCCCGGGCUCAACCUGGGAACUGCCUUUGUGACUGCAUAGCUGGAGUACGGCAGAGGGGGAUGGAAUUCCGCGUGUAGCAGUGAAAUGCGUAGAUAUGCGGAGGAACACCGAUGGCGAAGGCAAUCCCCUGGGCCUGUACUGACGCUCAUGCACGAAAGCGUGGGGAGCAAACA